GUACGGGGGGGGCAAGCGUUGUUCGGAAUUACUGGGCGUAAAGGGCUCGUAGGCGGCCAACUAAGUCAGACGUGAAAUCCCUCAGCUUAACUGGGGAACUGCGUCUGAUACUGGAUGGCUUGAGUUCGGGAGAGGGAUGCGGAAUUCCAGGUGUAGCGGUGAAAUGACGUAGAUAUCUGGAGGAACACCGGUGGCGAAGGCGGCAUCCUGGACCGACACUGACGCUGAGGAGCGAAAAGCCAGGGGAGCAAACGGGG
rnacentral:rRNA from 1 species